AAGUUGUAAAAUAUAUUGAUUUUCACACAUUUAUAUUGCAAUAUGAUUGCCAUUGUAUCAUUAGCAAAUACCUCCAUGGUGUCACAUAUUUAUCAUUUCAGUGAUGGAAACACUUAAGAUAUAGUCACUUAGCAUAUUUAAUGUUUAUAAUAUGGUUUAGUUUUCUGCAUCUCUGUACUAGCUUACCAGGACUUAUUUAUCCAUCACUUGCAAGAAUGUACCCUUGACAUCUCUGUCAUUCCACUACAGCCAAGCUCCUGGAAACCACCAUUCCACUGUCAGUAUUUUCAAAUUGAGUUUUUUGUUUUUUGUUUUUUUUUAAGCUUCCAGUUAUAACAGAUAUCACACAGUAUUUGUCUUUCUCUGUCUCACUUAUCUCACUAGUAUAAUGUCCUCAAGGCUCAUUCAUGUUGUCACAAUCGAUAGGAUUUCCUGUUUUUCUAAUGUGUGAAUAGUAUUCCAUUGUGUGUGUAUCUAUAUAUCACAUCUUCUUUAUCCAUUCAUCCAUGUAUUUGUAGACAGACAGUUUGUUUCCAUAUCUUGUCUGUUGUGAGUAAUACUUCAAUAAACAUGGGAGUACAGAUAUCUCUUGGAUAAUGUUUUCAUUUCAAUUGAGUAUAUACACAGAUAUGUGAUUGCUGGAUUGUAUGGUAGUUCUAUUUUAAUUUUUGGAGGAACCUCCAUACUGUUCUCCAUAUGUCUGUCUGUAUUUAAUUAAAAGCUAUUCCAAGUUUUAUUUUUUGUAAUACAAAAUAUAGAAAAGAGACCCCCCUGGAUGAUUGAAGUAAGCAUGGGAUUAUUGAAACAUCAGGGUUGUUAACCUCACAUAUUAUAUAUCUUUGUUGUUGUAAAAGUUUGCUCUGUUUUUAGAUUUGGGGCAUUUAGAGAAUAAUGCCAACCUGAUUAUCAUUCUCAAGAGAGCUUUCAAGAGAUCAUUAAAAGUUAACAAGAGAACAGCAUGCUCCAGGAAGCAGCUAUUUUUAACAACGCCAAAUUUGAAUUCACCUACUUUAAAGCUUUCACUGUUUUUAGAAAGCAUCUCUAUCAAUAAUUUUUAGAUUACAAGUCUAUUGAGGUUGCAGUUUAUAGUCUCAUAUUAAAAUGAUCUGACAUUUUGCGUCCUGACAAAAUUCACAAGAAGUAAAUUAUUUCACUACAGGAGCAGUCUAAAUAGAGAAGCUGAGUACACAGGUUUGCUCUAAACAAACAAAAACCAACAUGUUCAGUUAAAUUGGGAAUUCACAAGUAUGUAUAAUUAUGCUUUGAUUUGAUAGAUGACAGCUAAGUAUUUGCCAUAUUAAAAAAAAAAAACUUGCUUUGUGGCAAAGGGCUGCUGUUUAAAGUACAAGUUUAAAAUUUCAUUAAAAAAUAAAAUCCUAUAAGGUAUAAUUUUGUCUCAAAGUUAAGUGAAAAAAUUUUUAAAAAUGUUUUUAGGGGAUCUAGCAUCUGCUUAACAACUUAGUUAUAUUGUAUUUAACUACAAUUAGUAUAAAUUUAAAAUAAUACUGGAAAAUAUUUUUAUGAUCACAAAUGCAUUUAGUAAUUGUCACUAAACAAAUAUAUCCUGUUUGGAACAGAUCACGGAUCUUUUGGUUAUUAUUCACUUUAUCUGGAAUGUUCUUCUUUUUUACUUGUCCAGCUUCUCUUUAUUCUUUGGUACCAGCUUGGUUGUCACGACUGGCCCAGCUGUGUGAUUUCCCCCCCUAAAGUAUGGCAGCUUGUAGCUCUCACUGCAGUGUUUACUUGUAAGCUCCCACUGGGCUGGAGUUGUUUCUUUCCUCAGAUUCUUUCUCAUUGCAUAGAAUAAGUGUUUAAUGAAUUGGCGUAGUUGACUUACUUCCUAAACUCUUCCUUUCUAAGGGUCUUUCUAAUGCAAAUCAGCAUUUCAGUGGUCUUGAACUGGAGCAAACUAAUUUCAGGAUCCCUCAGUUCUUUAUUUUUUUUUCAUAAUAUGUGUGUUUAUUAAGAAUCAUGGUAGAGUUGGUGUAGGUUAAUUAUUCUAGUUCUCUCUUUAUCAGUCAGCAGCCCUCCAGGAAACAGAUGGACAGAUGAAGGGUUCCAUGGAAGAGAGUUUAAUGAAAGGGCUCUUUAGAGGUGUGGACAGAGUUAAGUUGAACAACCUGAGGUCAGGAGCACUCAAGGACAAGUGUUAAAUAAUAAAAGAGGUGGACGAUAGUUAAAGAGCAGAGUUUAUUCAGGAACUACUAAAAUAGAGGAAGAAAGACCUAAGUAUAGAACUGGGCCCAAUUCUGAGUACAGCAUGGAUGGGUUGGAAUGUAUAACCAAUGAGCAGGGUGGGCAUCACUCGAUAGAUAAUUACUAAGGAAGGGAAGAGGGUACUUAGCUAAACUGACUCAACAAGAUUCUUGCUGAAAGUAGGCCAGGAUACUCAGAUAUCACCUGGGGGAUGGUGGGAGAUGAGGAAUUUAAUCAGACAGCAAGGAGAUCAAAUAGACAGUAGGGGAUUUUCUGUAAACUGACUUAGCAGAAAAAUUGGGUAAUGCAGAGAUGGACACAGAUGUCCAGAGGUUGAGGCCUAGUUGAGAAGAGGGUUUAGAGAAGUUGGAUCAGGGUUUGAUCAAGGAGAGGAUCUUUGUCACCGCAGCAGAGAGAAGCUGUUACCAACCCAGGACCCAAAGGAGCAAAAGGAUAGAGCAUUGUGGGAGCUGUGGCUUACAGAAUACAGCCACUGUUAAAAUUGUGACCCAGCAAGAAGGGAGCUGGGCAUGGGGAGGUUUGGGAAGAAUAAAUACCCUAAUUAGCCAAUCCAACAGGAAGCCAGUAUGCAGGGGAGCCCAAGUGUGGAGGUCAAUCUUCUGGGCAAACAGCAAGGUGGAGGAGGGCAAAUGGAGAUGGAGGGGUCCGUGGAGAAUAGUCAGCACGUGCUCUAACUGGCAGGGAACUUUAGAAGAAUUAUUCCUUCCCUCUGAAGUUACUUUCUCAUCAAUAAAAUGUGAACAGUAACAUGUAGAUCAGCACAGAAUUAAAAAGAAGAAAAUAUCCCUUUUCAUCCAUUAGUCUCUAUAACUUCCAGUUCUUUGUGUUUUGAGCAUGGAUAUAAAAAUUUAAUCUCAAGUUCCUAAGCUUUAACCUUUCUUCUGAUUUGAGAGUUAAUAUAUAAGUUGAAUACAUUAAGAAUGGACUGAAGAACUAAGAAAUGUGGCAAUGUAAUUAAAGCAGAAAACAUUUGCUCUGACAAAUGUAACAUUUCACUCCACCAAG